UUUGAAUGUGGCGUGUGGGAUCUCUGGCGGGUCAUCGUCACAGAGCUCUGCAAAGCAAAAGAAGCCUAUUAGGAACUCAAGAGGCCCCAGGAGUUCUGUAUGCAGCUGAAGGGUAACAUCCCUUGGGAGCUUUUGCCUUGUCUGGCUGACGCCUUGGCAAUCGCAAGUGACAGUGACGGAGAGCCACCUCCUCUGGAAUGCAUCAUGGAACAGGUCUGGGAGAACAGAGGGUGCAGGAAGGGAAAAGCCAGGCAUUUGUAGUCCUCCUGCCACAGAUGACCAGAAUGACCUCACCCAGGACAAACGGCGACAGAUUUAGGAAUUCAAGCCAGCUUUUCUGACUCCCAGGCACCUGCUCUCUCCUUUCGAGUGUUCGACUCCACUCUCAGUCACUCGUCACUCUUCCCAGAAGGACAAAUGUGCAGCUUCUAUGUCUUGGAUUUCAAAUAAAAGACGAGGAACUUGGUGAAAUGAGGUGGU
rnacentral:lncRNA from 10 species